AUAAGGGUGUUCACGUGGCCAGAGACUGGAAAUGGGAUUGGGACUCGGACUCUGACUCGGACUUGGAGCUGCAACUGUUUGGCCGUUUGUCUUGUCUGCUGGCCGGGGUCCCGUCAUUGCUGUUGUAAUUGGGUUUCAGAAUAUGACGGAAAGAGUGUUGCUAAUCAGCAAAUCACACUCUGGCGUUGAGUAGACGAAUUACAGGGCAACCUGUUUGGCCAUUCAAAAUGGAAAGGCCUUUCUGCUGGCCAUCAAUCUGUG
rnacentral:lncRNA from 1 species